rnacentral:rRNA from 1 species
UACGUAGGGGGCGAGCGUUGUCCGGAUUCAUUGGGCGUAAAGCGCGCGUAGGCGGCUUUGCAAGUCGGCCGUGAAAUCUCCGGGCUCAACUCGGAGGGGUCGGGCGAGACUGCGAGGCUCGAGGUGGGCAGAGGGCAGUGGAAUUCCGGGUGUAGUGGUGGAAUGCGUAGAGAUCCGGAGGAACACCAGUGGCGAAGGCGGCUGCCUGGGCCUGGCCUGACGCUGAGGCGCGAAAGCGUGGGGAGCGAUCCGG